AUGCUCCUGUCUGAUUGCUGCAUAGAAACUUCCCAGACCCCUGAGGGGACCAUAAAAGGGAAAAUCCUGGAGAAGACGCAAACUUUCUGUUUCUCCAUAUCAAGUGUCUUGUCAGGAAAUAGGUCCUGGGAAGACCUUCUGACUCCACUGGAAUUGGGAAGAGUGGACUUUUUCUGCGUUGACUCAAAAAUGCUGACAGCAAAUGGCAGGUUACUGCUUAAACACAGAUGUCAUUUAUUGUGUCAACUUGGAAAUGCUCAGCACAAUCUGGUAAGUGCAAUUUUUCUCACAUUAUGAGUGUAUCUGGGCAGGUGCUAUACCUCACUUAGGUCAUACAUUGUUUUAAUAUGCAUUUCUAAUUUUUUAAUUCAUACCACAGGAGGAAAAAGAUGCUCAAAUACAUAUUCGAAAAAGACUGGUGCUAAGAUUUAGUAGUAGUUUAUCAAUAAUUAGAAGAUACAUAAUUCUUAUCCCUGGGGGCAUUUUUGCUACAUAUGUUCUAAACCAUCACUAAAUCCAAAAGAUGGAAAAACAGCUUUAAGGACAAAUAUAGAAAAUAUUUUUUGAAAUAGAUAUUACGAUGGCCUCUUCUAUGGCCAUGAUGCAUUUUGUUGUCACUUGCAUGUUGCCCUGUUUGGUUACAGACCUUGACUUCUCUCGUCGUGAUGGAAAAUCGCCAGAGGUACUCCAAAUAGGUUGUUACCAAAGCCUACAUCAAUGUUAUGCUACUUCAAUGUAUGUUAGGCUACACCUAAACAUAAAAUAGUAUCUCACAGUCUGCAGGGGCCACUCUGGGUUUUGACGGUUAGCUUUGAAAAUUUAAUUAUGUUGGUAAGAUCGGUGGCUCUUGUCCUGCUAAAACAUUAAGAUCAGACAGGCUGAAGAAAAUAACUCCAGCAUCAAGUGUUGCAGCUUGGAAGCAAGCAACAGAUUAUAGUUCUAGGUAGACUGCUGGACAGUAUGAUUAACAAAUGUAUGUCUCUGAAUUUUUCUGGCUGCCUCUGUAUGAACUAACACAACCUAAAUCUGCAAGGAAUACAGAGUCAUAUCCUUCAGAAGACGUCACAGUAAGCAUUGAAUAGCCAGCAAUGUGCUAAGUUCUGGAAAUUAGAGAAGUAUAAGACAUGGUCAUUGCUUAUACUUAUGGUCAAGAGGCUCCAAGAUCUACUUGGAGAAAAACAUAGGCAAUAAAAUGGAAGAAUAUAUAACAUAAAAGAGUACAUGUUAAAUGUGGUAUUAAAAGUGCCAUGGUAGCUCUUACAGAGACAGAAAUUCAGAUAUUUAGAGCCAUUUUUUUUUUUUUUUUUUUUUUUGCCAUGCUUAGGGCAUGUAGAAGUUCCCAGCCCAGAGGUUGAAAACUGCACCACAGAUGUGAAAGUGAUGGAUCCUUAGCCUGCUGAGCUACUAGGGAACUCGCAGAAAGCCUAAUAUAUAAAGCAGUUGGACAAGGC
rnacentral:lncRNA from 1 species